ACGGAGGAAAGGAAAGUUCUCUCAGCAACCAAGUGGAGCUACAAGUGUAACACCAUGACUUUGAUUUGUUUAUUUACUUAUUAAUUUUUGUUUUCGAUCUAAAAUUUUCAUCUGGCUUUCCCAUGGAAGACUUGAGCUUUGCCUAUGUUAACACAAAUGGAUUACGAGGAUAACAUGAGGAAAGUAGCUCACAUUUUCAGAAUAGACCAGAUUGUAGAAUAUGGUGCUUUUAGAUUAUGGAAUGGCUUCUGUAACUUGUGUCGGGUCACACCCUGAGGUUCCAAGAUGCUCGUUUUGUUUGAAACCCCCGCGGG
rnacentral:lncRNA from 1 species